AGUAUUCUAAGGCGCUUGAGAGAACUCGGGAGAAGGAACUCGGCAAAUUGGUACCGUAACUUCGGGAUAAGGUACGCCCUGGUAGCUUGACUGGCCUGCGCCAGAAGGGUGAAGGGGUUGCAAUAAAUGGUGGCUGCGACUGUUUAAUAAAAACACAGCACUCUGCAAACACGAAAGUGGACGUAUAGGGUGUGACGCCUGCCCGGUGCCGGAAGAUUAAAUGAUGGGGUGCAAGCUCUUGAUUGAAGUCCCGGUAAACGGCGGCCGUAACUAUAACGGUCCUAAGGUAGCGAAAUUCCUUGUCGGGUAAGUUCCGACCUGCACGAAUGGCGUAACGAUGGCCACA
rnacentral:ncRNA from 1 species